ACGGAAGGCAGCAGUGGGGGAUAUUGCGCAAUGGGGGGAACCCUGACGCAGCAACGCCGCGUGAAGGAAGAAGGCCUUCGGGUUGUAAACUUUUGUCGCAAGGGAAGAAGACAGUGACGGUACCUUGUGAGGAAGCCACGGCUAACUACGUGCCAGCAGCCGCGGUAAUACGUAGGUGGCGAGCGUUGUCCGGGUUUACUGGGUGUAAAGGGCGCGUAGGCGGGCAUGCAAGUCAGAUGUGAAAUACCGGGGCUUAACUCCGGGGCUGCAUCUGAAACUGCAAGUCUUGAGUGUCGGAGAAGAAAGCGGAAUUCCUAGUGUAGCGGUGAAAUGCGUAGAUAUUAGGAGGAACACCAGUGGCGAAGGCGGCUUUCUGGACGAUAACUGACGCUGAGGCGCGAAAGUGUGGGGAGCAAACAGGAUUAGAUACCCUGGUA
rnacentral:rRNA from 1 species